rnacentral:misc_RNA from 1 species
GAUGAAGAACGCAGCGAAAUGCGAUAAGUAAUGUGAAUUGCAGAAUCCAGUGAAUCAUCGAGUCUUUGAACGCACAUUGCGCCCUCUGGUAUUCCGGAGGGCAUGCCUGUCCGAGCGUCAUUGCUGCCCUCAAGCACGGCUUGUGUGUUGGGCCCCGCCCCCCGAUCCCGGGGGGCGGGCCCGAAAGGCAGCGGCGGCACCGCGUCCGGUCCUCGAGCGUAUGGGGCUUUGUCACCCGCUCUGUAGGCCCGGCCGGCGCCUGCCGAUCAACCAAACUUUUUUCCAGGUUGACCUCGGAUCAGGUAGGGAUACCCGCUGAACUUAAGCAUAUCAAUAAGCGGAGGA